AAUUUUCUCCCUCAUUCCCUAACAUUAAUACCUUUUUAAUAUUUUGUAGUCUAAAAUAGACGGAGUAAAAAUUCUUUUAACUUGAAUAGUUGAAAAACCAAUCACGAAAAAAAUACCUUACAAAAGAUUAGCUUAUUAGCUUGCUGUUACAUCCUUUCACAUUUUUGUUUAACCUGUCUUAGCGAUAUGAGGCGCUUGGCUAGCCAUUUGAUACAAUUUUUAACAUUAGAUUUUAUUAGGUGCCGUCAAGCUAUUUACAAUUUGCUAUUAUUUGCAGCACUGCUUCAUUCCCACUUUUACGAAAGUUCGUCUGCCCCGGCGGUGACGUUGCAAAAUUAGCAUAGUGCUUUAUAAAUGUUUUAUCAAUUUUAUUGUUUGGUUGUAAUUUUGUUCGUUCGUGCGAAGUUUUCUGUUGUUUCUCGCUUUCACAAUCGUAGUACCAUGAGUUAAUUCCUAAUCUCUAUGCUGAAAGCAAAGCAUGGAGUGUUUGGCACACCUGCAUUAGUGUCAGGGUGUCAGUCUAUACUAAGAAAGGAUUGGUGGAUGUCAGAAAAUUUGCUUCUGUAGUUCUCUGUUGCCACAGCAACAGGUAUAAGCCUUAGUAAUGCAGUGAGACACCCCUGUCUACGAAGAAUCCAGUUGUGAAGUACAAGUAAAGUGAACUGAAACAUUCAAUGUUCUACUCUGCCGAUGACAUUUCAACUCCGGUUUCAGUAAAAUAUCUGAGUGGAGUGCGAUGGAUGAUAUCAUCGACACCUUUGACCCCAUUUUUAGUGAGUGUGUUAUUAAAUUUGGUUUCCAGCUGCCGCUAUCGUUGCUUGUCCUAAGGAAGUGCCGGGGAAGUGACAAAGAUUGAUGUUGACAGUAUCAAACGAGAUCAUAUUGAGCUCUUGCCAACACCCACUAGGAUUGUGAGAUUAAAGGUGCUGGAAGUGCAAAUAUGAUACUUACUACUACGGACGAUCAAACCAGUUGACUAUUCGCUUGCAGCAGUAUUUCGCAGUUACCUACCAUGUUCAUGAAGGACAAAGUUGAAAAGUAGGUGGAGACAGUCGUCAGGAUGAUUCCGACGACCAGUGUGAUUUUGACCGGUACGGGAUUGGAUUUGUCACCAAGGAUGCGACUUGGAUUGGAACUUCAUUUCGACUUUGGAUGCUGUAAAAAACUGAAGAAGAAAGGCGAGUCAACGAUACUACAGUAGUCAACUUAAUCAUACAGACUGGCAUUUUCAUGGCGGAAGAUGGAUUUGACAUUCGUUUUCUAACCAAUGAGCAACUGGAUGCGUAAAGCUCUCUACCGAAUCAGCGACAUCAUCGGCUUUGAGGAGGUCUUUGUUCGAGAACGAAAUCCACAUUCAACCUAACACGGCUGCCUUUAGAGUAGUUCAACCUACUGCCGACUUUCAACAGUUGACACGGAGGACCUCUCUUGUCAUUGAAACUAUAUUAUGCUUCAAUCUGACGCCGGUUGAGACUGGUUUUGGUCUCACAAUCCACUGUA